GAGAAAAAAACGGCGAAGGGGGAAAGGGGAAAAAUAAAGCUUUAUUUUUCCCCUUUCCCCCUUCGCCGUUUUUUUCUCCGCUCUUUUUU
rnacentral:miRNA from 1 species